UACAGAGGUCCCAAGCGUUGUUCGGAUUCAUUGGGCGUAAAGGGUGCGUAGGUGGCGCCGUAAGUCAGGUGUGAAAUCUCGGGGCUUAACUCCGAAACUGCAUUUGAUACUGCGGUGCUUGAGGACUGGAGAGGAGACUGGAAUUUACGGUGUAGCAGUGAAAUGCGUAGAGAUCGUAAGGAAGACCAGUGGCGAAGGCAAUCCCCUGGGCCUGCACUGACGCUCAUGCACGAAAGCGUGGGGAGCAAACAGG
rnacentral:rRNA from 1 species